rnacentral:snRNA from 1 species
AGAGAGGGUGAGAGCCCCGUCGUGCCCGGA